rnacentral:rRNA from 1 species
GAUGAGCGCUGGCGGCGUGCUUAACACAUGCAAGUCGAACGGUGAAGGAGAGCUUGCUCUCUGGAUCAGUGGCGAACGGGUGAGUAACACGUGAGCAAUCUGCCCCUGACUCUGGGAUAAGCGCUGGAAACGACGUCUAAUACCGGAUACGAGCUGCGAAGGCAUCUUCAGCAGUUGGACAGAAUUUCGGUCAGGGAUGAGCUCGCGGCCUAUCAGCUAGUUGGUGAGGUAACGGCUCACCAAGGCGUCGACGGGUAGCCGGCCUGAGAGGGUGACCGGCCACACUGGGACUGAGACACGGCCCAGACUCCUACGGGAGGCAGCAGUGGGGAAUAUUGCACAAUGGGCGAAAGCCUGAUGCAGCAACGCCGCGUGAGGGACGACGGCCUUCGGGUUGUAAACCUCUUUUAGCAGGGAAGAAGCGGAAGUGACGGUACCUGCAGAAAAAGCACCGGCUAACUACGUGCCAGCCGCCGCGGUAACAC